rnacentral:rRNA from 1 species
UUAAAAAGCUCGUAGUCGGAUUUCAGUAUUAGGCCCUUCUUCCAAUACGGUUGCUAGUGGUCUUUACUUCCUUAACAGAAUCUUUCAUCUCAUUAAUUUGGGGUGUUUGGGGCCUGUUUCUUUUACUUUGAGAAAAUUAGAGUGUUCAAAGCGGGUUUUCGCCUGGAUAUUACUCUUGGAAUAAUAAUAUAGGACUUUGGUUCUUUUUUGUUGGUGACUUAGAACCGAAGUAAUGAUUGAUAGGGACAGUUGGGGUCAUUCGUACUAUGAAGCGAGAGGUGGAAUUCAUGGACCUUUGUAUGACGAACUACUGCGAAAGCAUUUGACUAGGAUGUUCCCGUUGAUCAAGAACGAAAGUUGGGGGAUCGAAGACGAUCAGAUACCGUCGUAGUCUCAACCAUAAACUAUGCCAGCUAGGGAUUGGAGGAAGAUCAUUUUACCUCUCCUUCAGCACCUUAUGAGAAAUCAAAGCAUUUGGGUUCCGGGGGGAGUAUGGUCGCAAGGCUGAAACUUAAAGGAAUUGACGGGAGGGCACCACCAGGAGUGGAGCCUGCGGCUUAAUUUGAUUC